rnacentral:rRNA from 1 species
AAAUAUUUCCAUAAUGCCCUGAAUACACUUGAAUUUAUCCGAUUUUAGAAGCUAAGCAGGAUCAGGCAUGGUGAAUAAGUGAAUGGGAGACUCACAGAGAAUACUAAGGAUCUC